CCUACGGGGGGCAGCAGUGGGGAAUAUUGGACAAUGGGCGAAAGCCUGAUCCAGCCAUGCCCGUGUGUGAAGAAGGCCUUCGGGUUGUAAAGCACUUUCAGUGGGGAAGAAAGCCUUGGGGCUAAUACCCUCGAGGAAGGACAUCACCCACAGAAGAAGCACCGGCUAACUCCGUGCCAGCAGCCGCGGUAAUACGGAGGGUGCGAGCGUUAAUCGGAAUUACUGGGCGUAAAGCGCGCGUAGGCGGUCUGAUAAGCCGGUUGUGAAAGCCCCGGGCUCAACCUGGGAACGGCAUCCGGAACUGUCAGGCUAGAGUGCAGGAGAGGAAGGUAGAAUUCCCGGUGUAGCGGUGAAAUGCGUAGAGAUCGGGAGGAAUACCAGUGGCGAAGGCGGCCUUCUGGACUGACACUGACGCUGAGGUGCGAAAGCGUGGGUAGCAAACAGGAUUAGAUACCCGAGUAGUC
rnacentral:rRNA from 1 species